GACGAACGCUGGCGGCGUGCUUAACACAUGCAAGUCGAACGGUGAAGGGAGCUUGCUCCCGGAUCAGUGGCGAACGGGUGAGUAACACGUGAGCAACCUACCCUUGACUCUGGGAUAACAGCUGGAAACAGCUGCUAAUUCCGGCUACGACCUGGAAGGGCAUCCCUCCGGGUGGCACGCUCCGACGGUCAAGGAUGGGCUCGCGGCCUAUCAGCGUGUUGGUGGGGUAACGGCCCACCAAGGCGACGACGGGUAGCCGGCCUGAGAGGGCGACCGGCCACACUGGGACUGAGAUACGGCCCAUACUCCUACGGGAGGCAGCAGUGGGGAAUAUUGCACAAUGGGCGAAAGCCUGAUGCAGCAACGCCGCGUGCGGGAUGACGGCCUUCGGGUUGUAAACCGCUUUCAGCAGGGACGAAGCUAACGUGACGGUACCUGCAGAAGAAGCGACGGCUAAAUAUGUGCCAGCAGCCGCCGUAAAAC
rnacentral:rRNA from 1 species